rnacentral:misc_RNA from 1 species
GGAUGACUUCAGAAGGUGAUGUGGAUAUUGUAAAAGUAGCUGAAAUUGUAGUACAAGAAGACGGCAAUAUCUUGGAUACUCUUUCUGAACCAAGUGACUCUUCCAGGACUAGAGAUGACCAAAAUGGUGACAUGUCUGAAGUUUGUGAUGAAAAAAGACAUUCUGUAUGCUUGGAACAUGAUUUACUUGAACAGAACCAAGCUUCAUCUUCUGCAAUAACAUCCCCAUCUACCUCUACAAUCACCAAGAAGGAUGACAAUCUAGAAGGUAUUGUAGAAGCAUUAGAGCGGCCAAGUCCUGUAUCUGUCCUUGAGCCACUUUUCAUAGAGGAGGAAAUCAGCCCAGCA